rnacentral:rRNA from 1 species
GACAGAGGGUGCAAACGUUGUUCGGAUUUACUGGGCGUAAAGCGCGUGUAGGCGGCUUCGUAAGUUGGAUGUGAAAUCCCACGGCUCAACCGUGGACGUGCAUCCAAAACUACGUCGCUGGAGUCUCGGAGAGGAAGGUGGAAUGCUUGGUGUAGAGGUGAAAUUCGUAGAUAUCAAGCAGAACACCUGCGGCGAAGGCGGCCUUCUGGACGAUGACUGACGCUGAGGCGCGAAAGCGUGGGGAGCAAACAGG